UCUAGCAACCGGACCGUGAUUUAGGGUUACUGGCUGAUCUCCUUCACCUCCGAGAUUUUCCUAUCGCUCUUGCCAUUUGGUUAGGUACAAUUUAUGGGUUCACUACAGCAUACAAGUGGCUUAAGGCAACUUCUACCUGUUUAAAAAAAAAAAGGAGAAGGAGAAGAAGAAGAAGUUGUGCUUUUAAAAUCAAAACGCGGGGCAGGAAUUCUCCCCCAUUGACUCAUCUGAUGCUGGAGCCAACCAACACGAUAGGGGCAGUGACGAUUUGCAGCCUCUUUGCGCCUCGGGACGGUCACGCCAAGAAUCACCUGGCAUCUCACAGCAAGCAGGACAGAAAUGGUUAAGUCCCCAAGGCUGCGAGUAAAGCACUGUGCCCGAGAGCCAAGCGACGGGAGGUGUCCCCUGGCAGGUGUGGACGCACAAAGGCGGCCCUCCUUCAGCCAGGCGGUGCCCUCGAGGUCAUCUGACCGGUGCCCCACCCUGGAGACUGGCCUGACUCCGCGGAGGCCCCUGCGUGAUAACACCCUGCGAGUCAGCUGACGGCCGCGUCAGAGCCCCUGCCUCUUUGCACGCUCACGCCUGCCGGAGCCCGGCUCCUGCAGCCUCCUAGCCGCAGUGCAGCAAAGCCGAGGCCGCCAGCUAGGCACAGGGUGCCGUCCUGCUGCCACCACUCAGCAUGCCUUACGCGAGGAGUAUUUACCUUUGGCUUAGCCAGGAGCAGAGAAGCAGUCUGAAUGUGCACGGGGGCUUCUAAGUUGGCAGCGUGAAUCUGCAGCAGAGCGGGUACUGCCGGGAGCCUGGUGGCCAGACUGCCCCUCGUGGAGCGCGGCUGGGUCCCCGUCCCCUGCGGGCGCGGCCUGGGGGCGCGGCUCAGGCUCAGGCCGCGCUGCUAGACCCGCAGGAGUAAAGGCUAGGACAAAGGAGACGAUGCUGGCCGUGGUCCGGCCGGCCGGGGCCCGUGCAAGGCUCGUCCACCCAACCGAAGCCAGGGGACAGUUGAGGCUGGUCACCGGGGCUGCCGCGGGUCCCCCCUCCUCAGUUAGAACACGGUGUCAAGGAGGAAACCAGACUCACUGACCUAAUUCAAUCCCAGUCCUCUCUGGAUGCGGGGACGGCUGCCGAAUAGCAGUGACACAACCAGCCAUCAGUGGAGAAUUACUGUGAGUGCAGCCCGAGACAAGGACAGCCUGAUUCCGGUCAUCUGAUGGCUUCUUCUUAUUUUCCUAACUAAGCGUGCUCGCCAGAGCACACAGUUGAGUGCAUGAGCCUGCCUUGCGUGCGGUCUGCGUCUGCUCUGGUUGGAAAUCAGGGUGCCAGGCGAGCCCGCCUUCGUGCUGGCUCCUCUCUGCCGCUAGGAAGGGGCACGCAGACAACAAAGAAGGAAGCAGAAAGCAUCACUUUAUCUUCACUCAUGAUGCUGGCGGGACAUAACUUCUUCGCAGUGAUGCCCUCCCGUGUGCCUGUGUGUGCGUGUGUGCGCGCGUGUUUGAAUCCAUCUAAUCGAGGAGCCUCACAGAUACCAUCGUGGAUGUGGCUUUUAAUGAUCUGGAGGAGAAAAAAAAAAAAAAAAAAAAAAGGCAGCCCGUGGAGACGGCCGCACAUUUAGGUGAUUGCCAAUUCGAAAUACUUUGGUUUGUGAAGCCCGGCCCUGAGGGACCAGCUCCGUAACUGAGAAAGAGAUCGUAGAUAAAGAAAUAAAAAUGACAAGCGUAAUAAUGCAGGCUCUGCGAGAAGGCUGUCAGAGCGUGAGUUCAUGGAUGGCAAUUUCACCAGGCUGAGACUGAAUAAUUCAUAGAUUGAAAUUACCCUGCUUUUCACCUUUCCAUUUAAGCCGGCAUGAUCUGAAUCUCUAAUAAAUGUUCGAGAUAAAGUAAAACGCCAAUUUGAAUCUGAAGAGCUUUUAAAACCAGAUGCGGCACCCCGAAUCUUUCGGUAUCUUUCACAAUUAUCCUGUGAGGACCGCACUUCAUCACGAAGCGCCAUUACCAGGGAAAAUGACUGUGAUUACAAUAGCAACAAUAGAAGGCCACCAAACGAUCUCUCAUUUACCUCAUUUGCUAAGACUGACUGUGUGCUGUGAAUGCCCGUUGUGAGUCACCUUGCCUCACACCCGUGGAUCUGCCUCGCGCCGGAACAGAAGCGAGGCGGUGCGUGGAAUCAAUACCCGAACUCUGAGAGCCUAGCAGAGGGCUCUCUCUUGGGUUGCAAUGCGUCUUUGGUUUGUGUUUUUGCGUUCUUCCCCACCCCCCCCCCGGUGCUUACACUCCAAGCGCCUGUUUGGGAGAAGUGGUGAGCCUGUGGUGGAUUGGGGGGUGAUGCCUUGAUGCGGGACGGCACAGACUUCUUCAUUUACAUACCCCCUUCACUUGAACGUAUACCCGCAUGCGUUUACUAGAAGGGAGGAAAGAUUCUGUCUGGGGGGAGUGGCUUAAAAAUGCAGCCCAGAUGAAGGCUAGGUCUUUGUUUCUUCCUCGAAACCCCUGUCUGCUCUCAGGUGAGAGAUCCCUUCAGGAAACUACAGUCCUCGUGUGAUGUGUUAAAAACCUCUCGGCUCGAAAAGGGGCUCCCGAGACACAUCCACUAAUCAGUCUGUGCAGCUUGUAUUAAAAGCACGUAUUUCCAACUGAGUGAUUAAAUGAAGCUUUCUUUGGCUGUGGCUGUGUCUGCUGGCCCUCCAGUGGAGUCUAACCUAAAGAGGGCUCUUUCUGACAGCCUGCACGGUCCAUGUCAGGGCAGCCGUGCCCCCGCGAGAAGGAGGCAGGGCUCAGAAAGCCUGGCCGGAGAACGGACGUUGUGCCGUCAUUUAAGAGGCCCGGCGACCCCCAGAGUUUUACUCUCAGGGGCAUGAAGACAGUGUGUGGGUUCUUGCGCAGUCAAGUGAUUUAAGUUUGAUGAGCUAAGGCAGGGUUUCUGAGGGAUGACGGUCCUCGGGGAGGAAGGUAGGUUUGAAACACAACCUGUCUAAUAUUGUUGAGUGCUCUGCUUGAGACCCUGAGCUCUGAUAUGCUUCUUAAUCCAUCAUGGUGGCUUUGGCCCUUCCCAUACACCCCCAAAUACCUUUGUCAGAAGGAGGUAAGUCGUAUUUCUAAUCAUUAGUCUAACUGAUUAUGUUCUUCUCGUCUGGUUUCGGGGGGAAUAUGUUUUUUUUAUGCUGUACUUUCCACGUACUGUUAUUCUCACCACCCUCAGGAUAACUAACAACUUUUUUUCCCUGUGUUUUUUUCUCUAGAUAUAAAUGAAAAUGUAGCAUUUUAAAAGGUGAUUUAAAUAUGGUGUCUCUUCCCUUUAUGUAAAUACGUUCCAGGUUCUAAUGCUUUUCAAAGGAAAGGGGGAAACAGUUUUACUUAGGAAAUAUUUUUUUUUAAAUCGUAAGCAACUCACUAGAUAUCAAUUAUGUUACCAUAUUGUUUUCUUUAGAUAACUCACAUUUCUAAUACGGAACCCAUUAUUCUUAUCUUUCAAGAAAGAGGCUGUUAGUGACAAAGGGCUUUUCACAAACCCGCACUGUCUCUGGGCCAGUGUUUUCUUUCUCAUUAAAACAGAGUCUUGAUGCUCUGUAAAGGGUUUUUCAUUUCUGCACUUUAAAGCUCUUUAACAGUCAAAGUUUGAACAGGGUAAUCAUUCAACAAACUGGUUUAUGUGUCUGAUGUUUAAGUAAUGCAGGUAUACUAAAAUGAUCUAAGUAUAAUUGGAAAUCAGACUUUGUUACCUUUUUGGGGCUCAGAAACAUAAUGAGUUUCACUUGAUAAAAACAGCAAAUUAGAAGCUCAUAGUUUUCUGAUUUAAGUAUGUAUCCUUUAUAUUCUUGGGAAAUGAGGUGUUUCUUUCACUUUUUCAGGAUGCAGGUGCCUAUCGUGCGUUAACGCUAUCGUGUGUUAGUGCUUGAUGAUCCUGCAAUUUACUGGUUUUGCCACAAGAAACAGGUGGGCAUGAGAAAGACAAGAGAAAAGUUAACCCCUCCCUCCCCCACUUCUAACUGCCCGUCACUAUGGACCAUCAACUGUAGUUACAAGGAGUGACUUGAGAUUUAAACAUCCAGAAGCACACUCGUAGAAUCCAGCAAACUGCCUUGUGCUUUAAGACGGAAUGGGUAUCAUAGAUACAGAGAACACAUCGGCGGUUACUAGAGGGGUGGGCAAGAUGGGUGGUGAUGGAUGGCAACUAGACUUUUGGUGGCGAUCACUUUGUAGUUCAUACAGACGUCAAAUUAUAAUGUCGUGUACCUGAAACUUACAUAAUGUUAUGUACCAUUUUUUUAUCUUAAUAAAAAACCUAACUAUAUAAACUAAGUAAAAAAAGAAUGUAUAAAUUUUACCAC